AACGAACGCUGGCGGCAUGCCUAACACAUGCAAGUCGAACGAAACCUUCAGGUCUAGUGGCGCACGGGUGCGUAACGCGUGGGAACCUGCCCUUAGGUUCGGCAUAACUCCCCGACAGGGGUGCUAAUACCGGAUCAUAUCUUCGGCCCAAUGAUUUAUCGCCUUUGGAUGGGCCCGCGUUGGAUUAGCUAGUUGGUAGGGUAAAAGCCUACCAAGGCGACCAUCCAUAGCUGGUUUGAGAGGAUGAUCAGCCACACCGGGACUGAGACACGGCCCAGAAUCCUACGGGAGGCAGGAGUGGCGAAUAUUGGAAAAUCGGGUAAAGCCUGAUCCAGCAAUGCCGCGAGAGUGAUGAAGGCCUUAGGGUUGUAAAGCUCUUUUACCCGGGAUGAUAAUGACAGUACCGGGAGAAUAAGCUCCGGCUAACUCCGUG
rnacentral:rRNA from 1 species